rnacentral:misc_RNA from 1 species
CUGGUGAUAGAUGAGAUAUAUUAUAGAUAAAAACAGAUAUAUGUAGUUAUAGUAGCAGCACAAAAGUUAGAACUACAAGGAAAAUUCAAUCAUCGAUCAAAAUUCAAAACAACAAACUAAGCAAAAACACUUGGAAAAUACAGAUAAAAAUUCAGGACAAACAGAAAUCGAUUGCCCCUACUGGGUUUCAUAAAGCAGUAGACCUGCGGUCGCCUCAAAGAAUUUACAGAGGUAAAAGGACAUUCUUCUUGGCAUUAGGAUGGUCCAACUCAACCGAGUACCACCAUAUUCUGGGGCAAAAUUUGAUACUUUGAAGAGAAGGAGGAGGAUAUGAUUGGCUGUUGUCAAGCAAGAGAAGACAAAGUGGCAUCCGCUUUUGCUUCAGACAGUUCCAUACAGAAAAAUUUUGCAGAGAAUUGCAGACUAUUUUUCCACUACAUAUAGUCUUCACAUUUGACAAGUCUUCCAAUGUACUACCUGUAAUUUUGGUAGAGUAAACUGAAUGCUGGUGAAGCUGAAACUGUUGCCAUCUCUGUCAUAACUUAACUGUCCUUCUUCCAAAUUUAUCAGCACCUCCAAAAUGCUCCAGGAAAGUUAAAGUUACUGCAUCAUUUGAAAACUAUAAAUUUCUGUAAAACAAAUGCAUUUGGAGUAGAAUAUUUGAAGUAUUCAGAAUCACUACAAAGAAUUGACAAAUACAAUUACAGUUUAGCACAACAGCAUCAAAGACAUUGUCUGAUGAUUUACCAGUUUUUUUUUGUUUGCUGAAUCCAAUGAUCAAUGAGUCCACAGCUUUCUCCACAAUCAACAAAUACAAGUUGGCAAAAAGCGGCUCAAAAGGAAAUUCAGAGUCCUAUUCAACAGGUUUAAGCAAAAAAAGUUUCCUCACAGCUAACCUUUAUAUACACAUUCAAUGAUUCAGUGCACUUCACUUCAGCAGGAAGUUAAUUACGCAGUGAAUUAAGUUGCUCAGAAUUUUACUGCUGAACCGUAAGCACAAAGGAGGGGCACUGUCAAGAUUGGCAGGAAUUAGCGUGUCAACAGACGAGGAAAAGAUUAGCUUUGCUUAACCUCUUUAAAGCUAGGCUCUCACAGACUAAGAGAAAUUUGUCUUCCAUUAACAUGUCAUCCUUGUCCUCCAUUAACAUGUCAUCCUUGUCCUUGUUCAGCUCCCCAGUGUGAUCAGUGAAGAUGCAACUGAAGCGAAAGUAUGUUUAUCCUUGCCUCACUGGUCCAAGAAAGUUGAAUUUUCUCAUGAGAUCAACACGUAAUUGAUUGUAAUGCAGGGAAUGUGUGCUAUCUUGUACCAGUCUGCUCCAAUAUCCUUUUGGCAUCUAUCUUUAAGAAAAGGGCAGUUUCGAAUAUGUAAGGAGGAUAGUGAGGUAGGAAGUGCCCCUUCAGGCAAAUGCAAAAGCUUACUGCACCCUCCAAUCUCUAAAAUUUCAAGGGAAUUAAGAUACUGGAUUGCCUUAGGCAGAGAUGUGAGAUUUGGAAUACCAAAAAUGUGGAGAGAGGAAAGACUUGAGGGCAAAGGCCACUCCUCUGGGAAGGACUCCAAGUUUGGACACCUAGCAAUUUCAAGAUGUCUUAGGGAGAGAAGUUUGUGCAGUUCCCACUCGAUUUUCGGCAUAAGCAUGAGGCAGUUGUUAAUCGUAAGGGAAUUUAGGUUUGUAGGAAGACCACUAUCAGGGAAGCAAGUUAUUUGUGGACAAUUGGAAAUAUGCAGCCUCUGAAGAGACUUCAUGGUGUGCAUCUGAUCAGGAAGGAACAUAAGGUUGUCACAGUGAUUGAUUUCCAAAGAAAUAAGGUUGGGAGGAGGUCUUAGAAAAGAACAAGGAAGAGGACAGUUCAUGAUGGUUAAAUUCUUGAGUGAUGUGAGAUUCUGAAGAUCCUCUGGGAAGGAUUCAAGGUUUAUACAACCACUGAUGUCAAGAUAUUCAAGGUUAGGGAAAUGUAAUGAAAGUGACUUCACCGAAUGACAACCAAAUACAUUUAGACGUUCUAGGGUUGUGUUGUCUAACAACAUUCCUUCAGGGAACAACACUAGUUUUUUACAAUUCAUGAUCCUGAAUUCUUUCAGUGUGGUAGGCAGACCACUGCAAGAUGAAGAUGGAUGAAGAGAAUAUGAAGUAAGACCUGUAGAACAGCUGCUGCUGUGCAUUGUUACUCCAGGAAGGGAUUGUAGAGCUUCACAUUCCUCAACGAUAAGUUGUGUAAGCAUCGAUGGCAAACCCAUAUCAGGGAAAGAUACUAGACUUGGACACCCAUCAAUGCGCAACAUUCUGAUAGAUGUAAGCUUGUAUAAUCCAGGUGGCAAGGCCAUCAAUCUCUGACAGCACGAAAUUUCAAACCUUUCUAGCAUUGAGAGACACUCAAAUCCAACUUGGUUGGACAAAGUUGAAAGGUUACUACAAUGAGCAAUCCUAAGUUCUUUAAGUGUUGUUACCUGAUGCAAGAACCCUUCAGGUAGCCUAGUAAGGUUUGAAAUCACAUUCAAGGAAAGUAGAGAAGGCAGGCAAGAAAUACCAGUUAGCAACAUCUCAUCACAGUCCUCUAACUCUAAUUUACGGAGAGAUGGAAGCCUUGGAAGUGCUGAAGCCAACUUAGGACAUUUCAACAAGCAAAGGACUUCAAGGUUUGGGAACCCUUGACUUUCAUUGUCAAUAAAGAAAACCCAAUCCUCCCAUUCCAUCAUUUCCUCAAACCUCAGAGUCUCCAGUGAUGGAAAUGUUUUAGCUGAAGAAGAGCUGGCCCCAUAAAACUCAGGACCGACGCUUUUGAUGCCAUUCAUCCCAAUAAAAACCAAGUCUUUGAGAAGGGGUAGUUGGCCGAGUGUAGGUAAGGCUUUGCAAUUCUUACAAUUGCUGAGACUGAGGAACACCAAGUUGGAAUGUGAAGGAUUCCCUAUCCAGUUCGGAAAUUUUGCACCUCCAUAGCACUUGACUGAGAGCAAUUUCAAGUGUCUAUGAGGUUGCAGCUUGUCAAGGACAUCCAUAUCAUUGUUUGGAUGAUCAUUAUUGUUAUCCCAUUCCAGCAUCAACUCAUCAAGAUGUGGCUUAUCUUUGAAAUUGGCCAGCUGGGCAUCAUUGGCAUGGACAACAUAUUGAAGCUUUGAAAUAGAAAGUGCCCCUCGGAGAUUUGACAGUUCUCUCAACUCCCUAAUUCUCGAUCCGCCACUCUCUCCUACCACAAAGUUGGUCAACCUUUGUAGUUCCUUCAUUUGUCCCAUAUACAGGGGCAUUUUUGACAGCCUACUUCCACGAAUAUCUAGAUGUCGCAGAUUGAUCAGUUUCCAAAGAUUUUCAGGUAAUUCUGUCAGAUAGCAAAAUGAUAAGAGUAGUGUCUGCAAAUUGUACAAGUUUGUUACUGAUUCAGGAAGUCUUCUGAUUGCUGUAUGAGAGAGAUCAAGAUACCGUAAAUAUAUCAGGUUGGAAAUUGAUUCAGAUAAGCUGGUGAUCUUGUAGUGAGACAAAGAUAGUACCCGUAAGUAUGUCAGUGUUGGCAGCAGCUCAUUUGGGACCUUAUCAGAUAUGUAGCAAAUAGCAUCCUCACUGCUUAAAUUCAAUGGUAUGAAGGUCCGCAAAUUCUUGAUGCAAGCAAAGACCUCAAAUCUUUUGAAGCAAUCAUAUUUUCCUUGAAUAUGGGAUGAAUGGCGUGCAUUUUUAAAAAUGUCAUGCUGUUUAUGAUCCUCUUCAAGAUGGAAACAAAAUUUUCCAGACACAGAUUUAGCUAGAUCGUUGAUGAGAUCAUGCAUCGUGAAAAGUGAUUUCUGGUCAUUCAUCAGCUGGAAAAGUGACCUUGAUACUAAAUCACGAAAAUACUCAUCCCCCACUUCUUCCAUCAAUUUGUUUCCUCCUGGUUGCUGCAGAAGACCUUCUGCCAUCCACAAUAACACCAACUUCUCUUUCUCAAAAAUAUAGCCUUUAGGGAAUAUCGAACAGUAUGCAAAGCAUCUUUUUAAAUGAACUGGGAGGUAAAGGUAGCUCAAUCUCAGAACUGGGAGAAUUUCACAACUCUUAGUUGGGAGAUCCCAUAUUUCGCUAUAAAGGACGUUUUCCCACUCCCCAGUGGAUAAUUUGCCAUGGAGGAGACCAGCAAGUGUUUUUGCAGCUAGUGGUAUGCCCUUAGAUUUCUUGACAAUUGCUUUACCAAUCACCUCAAGAUUUGGAUGUGCACCAUGAACUUCAUCUUCAAAUGCAUGUUUUGCAAAUAACAACCAACAAUCUUCAAAUGAUAGCGGCUGUAAGUAGUAGCUAGGGACAGUGCGUAAGGCUGAUGCUGCAUUUGCAUUGCGAGUUGUGAUAAUAAGCUUACUUCCUUUCAUUCCAGCUUUAAAUGGGAGCUUAAAAACAUCCCAUUCAUUAUAGUUCUCAUCCCAGAAGUCAUCCAAGACAAUUAUAAAUUUCUUGCCUGCCAAGUUCUCCAUCAACCUUACUUGAAGUUGAUUGAGGUCUUCAGUUUCAAAAUUCAGCUUAGUGAUUGACUCGAGAAUUGUUUUAGUUAUCUUAACUAUGUCAAAUUCUUGAGAAAUACAAGCCCAUGCCCUCAAAACGAAUUGUUCCUUCACUCUACAGUCGUUGUAAGCAAGCUGAGCUAGGGUUGUCUUGCCAACCCCACCCAUUCCGACAAUAGUAAUUACACCAACGUCUUUGCUCUUUGCAUCAUCUGAGAGCAACAAUUUGAUUAUCUCUUCUCUGUCACCUUCCCUGCCAUAAACACAGGACUCAUCAACUAGAGAAGUCGUUGGUAACCUUUUUGAUUGCUUUCCUGUAGUAACCUCCUUUAAACCAAGGACGUUAGUUAGGCUUGCCAUGUAUUCUAGCUUGUGAAUGACCUGCUCUAGCUUGGAUUCAAUAUUUCUAUCAAAUUGAAACAAAGAAGCAGUGAUAUAGUUCCAAACCUGUUUUGUCAUGGAUCGAGAAUUUCUCUCAGCCCUGCAUCUCAAUAAUUCAGUAGAAAUUAAAUCCAGCAGGUCUUCAGCUUGAUACACUGUAUCUUUAAGCUCAACUAGCCAAUCUUUCACGGAUGGAUUUGUGAUUUGCUUCUCUUCUGCAUCAUCGAGAACUGCAGUAAUUGCCAGUAUUGUUAUCCUCAAUUUCUUAAGUAGUUCUUCAUCAAGACCCCGUCUCCGGAAGAAUUCUAUAAGCUCAUAAGAAGCAAACCUGUCAAGCAGCACUUGAAGGAAAGCGGAGAGAACUGCCUCGCCUAAGGCCAUCUUCUGGUCUGUUUAUCUUGUGGAUGGAAAUGAGAAAGGAAAGAUCAGUGACUACAGUAUGCUGAAAGGAAAGGUCAACCUGCUAUAGUAUUUCCUUGCAAUUUAUGCAAAUUAGUUAUCAGCUUGAGGAUUAAGAAGAAAAAGGUAGUAACCCAGUAGUUGCUCA